rnacentral:rRNA from 1 species
GCCUACAGCCAUGCCACCCUGAAUAGGCCUGAUGUCUGAUCCUAGAAGCUAAGCAGUGUCGAGGCUGGUUAGUACCUGGAUGGGAGACCACCUAGGAAGACCAGGUGCUAUAGGCA